rnacentral:rRNA from 1 species
CUUUGACCNCAAAUCAGGUAGGACUACCCNCUGAACUUAA